rnacentral:rRNA from 1 species
UACGUAGGGGGCAAGCGUUAUCCGGAAUUACUGGGUGUAAAGGGAGCGUAGACGGUGAUGUAAGUCUGGAGUGAAAGGCGGGGGCCCAACCCCCGGACUGCUCUGGAAACUAUGUGACUGGAGUGCAGGAGAGGUGAGCAGAAUUCCUAGUGUAGCGGUGAAAUGCGUAGAUAUCAGGAGGAACACCGGUGGCGAAGGCGGCCUGCUGGACUGCAACUGACGUUGAGGCCCGAAAGCGUGGGGAGCAAACAGG